UUUUGAACUAACUGCUAUUGCGUGUCCCAUGACCAGCUGUGGCAGGGUUUUUGUUCCCAUGAAUGAAUGGGCUAUAAAUCUGCCCGGCUUGACACUAGUAGCAGCACUAGAGGGUGUAAAGCAGACUGUGCCGAGGAAUCUCGCGGUCUUUGCCUGCCUGGAAAAUGAAUUCAAUAAAAUGGAGCCCAUCUCUGUACCCAGAGUGGUUCUGGGAGCUGUGAGCAACUGCAGCGGUGGCAGAAACCAGAGCAGUGCUGGCGAUAUGUGCAUACCGCUCUUCAUCUGAGGUUCUAGAAUCUUCCAAGGUGCUGAGAGGCAUGGAUGGAUAUUUCAGCUAUUCCUCUAUUGCUGUGAUGAAGUACUACAACCAAGCAUUAAUUUGGCCUAUGGUUUCAAGGAUUAGAGUUCUUGAUUGUGGAGCACAGACUUGAUGGCAGAAACAGCUGAGACCUCACAUCUUGAUUCACAACCAGGAGGCAGAGAGAGACAGCACUGGGAAUCCCGUGAGUCUCUUAAAACCUCAAACUCUUGACACACCUUAUUCAACAUGGCCACACCUCCUAAUCCUUCCCAAACAGUUCCAUCA
rnacentral:lncRNA from 1 species